UACGAAGGGUGCAAGCGUUAAUCGGAAUUACUGGGCGUAAAGCGUGCGUAGGCGGCUGCUUAAGUCUGUUGUGAAAUCCCCGGGCUCAACCUGGGAAUGGCAAUGGAUACUGGGCAGCUAGAGUGUGUCAGAGGAUGGUGGAAUUCCCGGUGUAGCGGUGAAAUGCGUAGAGAUCGGGAGGAACAUCAGUGGCGAAGGCGGCCAUCUGGGACAACACUGACGCUGAGGCACGAAAGCGUGGGGAGCAAACAGG
rnacentral:rRNA from 1 species